rnacentral:rRNA from 1 species
ACAUGCAAGUCGAGCGGUAGCACAGAGAGCUUGCUCUCGGGUGACGAGCGGCGGACGGGUGAGUAAUGUCUGGGAAACUGCCUGAUGGAGGGGGAUAACUACUGGAAACGGUAGCUAAUACCGCAUAACGUCGCAAGACCAAAGUGGGGGACCUUCGGGCCUCAUGCCAUCAGAUGUGCCCAGAUGGGAUUAGCUGGUAGGUGGGGUAACGGCUCACCUAGGCGACGAUCCCUAGCUGGUCUGAGAGGAUGACCAGCCACACUGGAACUGAGACACGGUCCAGACUCCUACGGGAGGCAGCAGUGGGGAAUAUUGCACAAUGGGCGCAAGCCUGAUGCAGCCAUGCCGCGUGUGUGAAGAAGGCCUUCGGGUUGUAAAGCACUUUCAGCGGGGAGGAAGGCGGUGAGGUUAAUAACCUUGUCGAUUGACGUUACCCGCAGAAGAAGCACCGGCUAACUCCGUGCCAGCAGCCGCGGUAAUACGGAGGGUGCAAGCGUUAAUCGGAAUUACUGGGCGUAAAGCGCACGCAGGCGGUCUGUCAAGUCGGAUGUGAAAUCCCCGGGCUCAACCUGGGAACUGCAUUCGAAACUGGCAGGCUAGAGUCUUGUAGAGGGGGGUAGAAUUCCAGGUGUAGCGGUGAAAUGCGUAGAGAUCUGGAGGAAUACCGGUGGCGAAGGCGGCCCCCUGGACAAAGACUGACGCUCAGGUGCGAAAGCGUGGGGAGCAAACAGGAUUAGAUACCCUGGUAGUCCACGCUGUAAACGAUGUCGAUUUGGAGGUUGUGCCCUUGAGGCGUGGCUUCCGGAGCUAACGCGUUAAAUCGACCGCCUGGGGAGUACGGCCGCAAGGUUAAAACUCAAAUGAAUUGACGGGGGCCCGCACAAGCGGUGGAGCAUGUGGUUUAAUUCGAUGCAACGCGAAGAACCUUACCUGGUCUUGACAUCCACAGAACUUUCCAGAGAUGGAUUGGUGCCUUCGGGAACUGUGAGACAGGUGCUGCAUGGCUGUCGUCAGCUCGUGUUGUGAAAUGUUGGGUUAAGUCCCGCAACGAGCGCAACCCUUAUCCUUUGUUGCCAGCGGUUAGGCCGGGAACUCAAAGGAGACUGCCAGUGAUAAACUGGAGGAAGGUGGGGAUGACGUCAAGUCAUCAUGGCCCUUACGACCAGGGCUACACACGUGCUACAAUGGCAUAUACAAAGAGAAGCGACCUCGCGAGAGCAAGCGGACCUCAUAAAGUAUGUCGUAGUCCGGAUUGGAGUCUGCAACUCGACUCCAUGAAGUCGGAAUCGCUAGUAAUCGUAGAUCAGAAUGCUACGGUGAAUACGUUCCCGGGCCUUGUACACACCGCCCGUCACACCAUGGGAGUGGGUUGCAAAAGAAGUAGGUAGCUUAACCUUCGGGAGGGCGCUUA